rnacentral:rRNA from 1 species
CCCUUAGAUGUUCUGGGCCGCACGCGUGCUACACUGAGUAAUUCAAUGGGUAAGGGAACGCUAGAGCAUUACCUAAUCUUGAAAUUUGCUCGUGAUGGGGAUCGACGGUUGCAAUUUUCCGUCGUGAACGAGGAAUACCUUGUAGGCGCAUGUCAUCAUCAUGCGCCGAAUACGUCCCUGCCCUUUGUACACACCGCCCGUCGCUCCUACCGAUUGAGUGAUCCGGUGAGGUUCUGGGACCUGGACGGAAAGAGCGUUUCGCUUGUUCUGUUUGGGAAACUUGGUCGAACCUUAUCAUUUAGAGGAAGGAGAAGUCGUAACA